rnacentral:rRNA from 1 species
AUGCACGCUGGCGGCGUGCCUCAUCCCUGCAAGUCGCGCGAACAGACGAGGAGCUUGCUCCUCUGACGUUAGCGGCGGACGGGCGAGUAACACGUGGAUAACCUACCUAUAAGACUGGGAUAACUUCGGGAAACCGGAGCUAAUACCGGAUAAUAUAUUGAACCGCAUGGUUCAAUAGUGAAAGACGGUUUUGCUGUCACUUAUAGAUGGAUCCGCGCCGCAUUAGCUAGUUGGUAAGGUAACGGCUUACCAAGGCAACGAUGCGUAGCCGACCUGAGAGGGUGAUCGGCCACACUGGAACUGAGACACGGUCCAGACUCCUACGGGAGGCAGCAGUAGGGAAUCUUCCGCAAUGGGCGAAAGCUUGACGGAGCAACGCCGCGUGAGUGAUGAAGGUCUUCGGAUCGUAAAACUCUGUUAUUAGGGAAGAACAAAUGUGUAAGUAACUAUGCACGUCUUGACGGUACCUAAUCAGAAAGCCACGGCUAACUACGUG